rnacentral:rRNA from 1 species
UACGAAGGUGCAAGCGUUAUCGGAAUCAUUGGGCGUAAAGAGCGCGCAGGCGGCUUGGCAAGUCGGGUGUGAAAUCCCGGGGCUCAACCCCGGGACUGCAUUCGAUACUGUCAGGCUAGAGGUAGGUAGGGGAGAUCGGAAUUCCUGGUGUAGCGGUGAAAUGCGCAGAUAUCAGGAGGAACACCGGUGGCGAAGGCGGAUCUCUGGGCCUUACCUGACGCUCAGGCGCGAAAGCUAGGGGAGCGAACAGG